UCUACAGCCCUCUACCCAUGAACCUGCAGGUAACAUGACCCUCUACAGCCCUCUACCCAUGAACCUGCAGGUAACAUGACCCUCUACAGCCCUCCACCCAUGAACCUGCAGGUAACAUGACCCUCUACAGCCCUCCACCCACCAGGUAACAUGACCCUCUACAGCCCUCCACCCACCAGGUAACAUGACCCUCUACAGCCCUCUACCCAUGAACCUGCAGGUAACAUGACCCUCUACAGCCCUCUACCCAUGAACCUGCAGGUAACAUGACCCUCUACAGCCCUCCACCCACCAGCCCUCCACCCACCAGGUAACAUGACCCUCGACAGCCCUCCACCGACCAGGUAACAUGACCCUCUACAGCCCUCUACCCAUGAACCUGCAGGUAACAUGACCCUCUACAGCCCUCCACCCACCAGCCCUCCACCCACCAGGUAAUAUGACCCUCUACAGCCCUCCACCCACCAGCCAAUAUGAAUAUCUACAGCCCUCCACCCAUGAACCUGCAGGUAACAUGACCCUCGACAGCCCUCCACCCACCAGCCCUCCACCCACCAGGUAAUAUGACCCUCUACAGCCCUCCACCCACCAGCCCUCCACCCACCAGCCAAUAUGACCCUCUACAGCCCU